AUUAAAGUUGUUGUUUGCUGUCCUGGUUAAUGUUAUAAAUUAAUGUCGAUUGUUACAGAGUCUGUUGUGCAAGUGUUUCAACUGUGAUGGAUAGAACUGGGAAAGAAAUGUUCUUGCUUGUCAAUUAGUAAUUUCAUAUUUCGAGAGAAUGGAUGGGAAUAUGCGUUACGUACCUUGGAGAGCAGCGAGUGAAGGAUCAAGGGUUGAAUUAGUGUGUGACAUAGCAAAAUCAUAUCAUCACAGCUCCAUGCAAUUCAGAAUGUGUCACUUGAACAUGUUAAGGCAAUUGAAUAGUAAAUGGAGUAAUGGAAACCAUCUACAAAGAGACUGGUGCAGUUAGUACUUUGUGUUGGAGUGCAAAAAAUAAAAGCUGUUGACUGCAAGCUGGUAAGAGCACUGGAUUGACAGAUUUUUCCAGGUUUCAAGGUACUUAUUACUGGACAAGUGGAUUGUUACAGAGGCACCGUCAUGUUGGAAGAACACAAUUUACAGCUAAUUGGUGAAGCUGAUUCGCUGCUUAUAUCAAAUGCACCAAAGAAUGUUUUGGCAAGGACACUGACCAACCAACAAAUCUUAGGCAAAGAAAUGAGGCAGCAUUCCUUGUUGAAGAUGAUGACAGUGACACCAUUUUUGUGCAGGAAGUAGGUUCACAAUUGAGUCAGCUGGAAGAACAACAGCAAAGGUUGGAACAACACUCAGAAAAUGCUAGAAAUGUUAACGACAGGCCAUGAGAGGAAAUACACCCAUUUGAAGAUGAGUACCAGAGAGAAGUGGAGAUGAUGGACAUGGAAGAUGAUAUAGAAACAGUAGAACACCAGGCAUUGUUUGCUAUAUCCAGUAAACAUACUGUUUCACAUAGUCAAAGCAGUAUUUCUAAGAGAAAGAAUUGAGCGAAUGAUGGCAUUGUGGUAGAAAUAGUGCUGCUCAGAGAUUAUGACUUUUCCUUAAUGUCUCAUUUACUGGUCUUGAACUGACUACAGAACUAAACCGAAGGCUAGAAAUUGUAGAAGUCGUAAAGACUACCACAAAUUUGUGUAGGAGUGCAAGCCCAAGAAGAGAACCCGAGGUUAUACCUCAUUUAGAUGAUUUGGAUGUCUCAGAGUUUGUUCAUGCAGCCUGGUCUGGGUGAUAUAUGCCAUGAUGGUGAAUAAUUCCUAUAAACUGCAAAAGGAAAGUGCAGGCAAGUUCCAGACGCUGCUUGCAAUGACAGUGAACUUGAAAGAUGAGAAUCAAGCAAAAGUCAGUUCCUUUUUUAGUAGAGGCUGUACUUCAACAAACAGACAACAUUCUGAAUUAUCCAAAAUUGAUUUUCAUGCUGCUGUUGAGAAACAUAGUGAGGAAGAGCCUAGAACAGCUCAGAUUUCACUGCGACAUGGUCAUGAGUGUUUAGGAAACUUUUUUUGGCCCAUUUGUUGAACCUGCAUUUGAAGACCACAGCCAUCCAUCCAUCCAUCCAUCCAUCCAUCCAUCCAUUCAUCCAUCCAUCUCUUCUGUUAGUAAUAUUGAGGAAAGUGUCUGGUGAUUGACAGGAAACCAUUUUUUUAUAUACGACAAAGAAAAGUUGCAAAACUAACUACAGCUGCUGUGUCCACUGUGAAGAGGUUUCUUUUGCCUUUGACAUCCUUUCUCAAGACAAAAUUUGAUGGUUGGUAUCUGACCAUAAAGCUGUGUGAUGGAUCAGCAACAUUGGAAGU